rnacentral:rRNA from 1 species
GACGAACGCUGGCGGCGUGCUUAACACAUGCAAGUCGAACGGAAAGGCCCUGCUUUUGUGGGGUGCUCGAGUGGCGAACGGGUGAGUAGCACGUGAGUAACCUGCCCUUGACUUUGGGAUAACUUCAGGAAACUGGGGCUAAUACCGGAUAGGAGCUCCUGCUGCAUGGUGGGGGUUGGAAAGUUUCGGCGGUUGGGGAUGGACUCGCGGCUUAUCAGCUUGUUGGUGGGGUAGUGGCUUACCAAGGCUUUGACGGGUAGCCGGCCUGAGAGGGUGACCGGCCACAUUGGGACUGAGAUACGGCCCAGACUCCUACGGGAGGCAGCAGUGGGGAAUAUUGCACAAUGGGCGGAAGCCUGAUGCAGCAACGCCGCGUGCGGGAUGACGGCCUUCGGGUUGUAAACCGCUUUCGCCUGUGACGAAGCGUGAGUGACGGUAAUGGGUGAAGAAGCACCGGCUAACUACGUG